ACAAAACACAGUCUCAGUUCAGAUUGUAGGCUGAAACUCGCCUAUAUGAAGUCGGAAUUGCUAGUAAUCGCGGAUCAGCAUGCCGCGGUGAAUACGUUCCCGGGCCUUGUACACACCGCCCGUCACACCAUGAGAGUCGAUAACACCCGAAGCCUGUAGUCUAACAGCAAUGAGGACGCAGUCGAAGGUGGGAUUGAUAAUUAGGGUGAAGUCGUAACAAGGUACC
rnacentral:rRNA from 1 species